rnacentral:rRNA from 1 species
UACGAAGGGGGCUAGCGUUGUUCGGAAUUACUGGGCGUAAAGCGCGCGUAGGCGGGCAUCUAAGUCAGGGGUGAAAUGCCAGGGCUCAACCUUGGAAUUGCCUUUGAUACUGGAUGCCUGGAGUUCGGGAGAGGUGAGUGGAAUUCCGAGUGUAGAGGUGAAAUUCGUAGAUAUUCGGAGGAACACCAGAAGCGAAGGCGGCUCACUGGCCCGAUACUGACGCUGAGGCGCGAAAGCGUGGGGAGCAAACAGGAUUAGAUACCCCGUAGUCC